UGCCCAAGAGAUCGGGAUAACACCUGGAAACAGAUGCUAAUACCGGAUAACAACAGAUGAUGCCUAUCAACUGUUUAAAAGAUGGUUNUGCUAUCACUCUUGGAUGGACCUGCGGUGCAUUAGCUAGUUGGUAGGGUAACGGCCUACCAAGGCGAUGAUGCAUAGCCGAGUUGAGAGACUGAUCGGCCACAUUGGGACUGAGACACGGCCCAAACUCCUACGGGAGGCAGCAGCC
rnacentral:rRNA from 1 species